rnacentral:lncRNA from 1 species
AAUCACCAAGGCCCACAAAGGAGACCUGGGCCUUGGGGUCCCAAAGUAAAAAAGAAAGAAGGUCAUCAAAGAACUGGAGACUUAAUCUCAAUUUUAAACAAUGACAAUCAUUUUGUUGAUGUUUCUCCUAUAAGAGCCACAUCCCGCUCUAAGAGUGUGGUACAAGCGCGGACACCAGAGAUGCCUCUAGUGAAAACAAAGACAAGCCUUAGCACCCUAAGGAGCACCUAGAACCUGAGGCCAUGUUGUGUGACAGACAGACAGGGAAGUCACCCAGCCCCAGGAAGCAGGCGCUUUGCCACUUGGAGUUCCUCAGCAGGAAGAAGAAAAAGAAGUGACCUCUGGCAUGUUCCACGGCUCUGGGGUGAAAACCUCCCCAGAUCCCAGACACAGUGAGGAGGAGACCAGAGUUGGCGAGAAGUUCAAAAAACACAAGAGGGAAAAAAAGGGGCACAGGAACCCAGAGCCUUCUCAGUCCAGGACCCUUGAUUCUGCAAGGAAAGGAAUGUUGCCUACAUUUGCUCAGUGAGGAAGGAGGGCAAGGAGCAGGCAGCCUUGGGGCAGAACGGAAGCAGGGGAAGCCCAGGGAACACAGUGGUUAAGUGAAGAAGACAAAAAAAUCCACCGGAAGGGAGACAACCUCCUAGGCCACACCCCAAGCCCUCCAGGUCCAUGAAGUGUAUGUAGCCUUAGGAUACGAAGUAAAAAAAAGCCAGUCAAAAUUGAGGCUCCAAAAUACAUCGCAAUAUGCGAUGGCCCUAAGGUCACAGCAAAGAAGAAACUGAAGUCCAAGAAAAACAGAGCAGCCACUCACUGAGGACGUGGCUCUGAAAAGGAAAAAAAGAAGAGGAAAGAGAGUGGGGUAGCAGGAAACUCGUGGAAAGAGAAAACAGACAGACACAGAGGUUAUGUUGGAAAAGAAAGGCAACAUGGACAAGGGGCACACAGACCAGGUGAGGUGGAAGGCCUUGCAACAGACUGAUCUUUAGCUGGGCAAAAGAGAAGCUUCUGAAACCAGGAAGUGGACAGUAACCCAGUUUGGCCAGUAGGAUACUGGUUUUAAGAACAAGGAACAGAAAUGGAAAUUUCUCAAACAUGGGUGGAUUCAAAAAUCUGACCCCUUCAUUCAGCUGCCCCCCUAGCAUGACUGCAAGGCCCAACAUGACCCUCAGCAAGAAGGCAGCAAAUAGCCUGCAGCAGAACCUGCAGCAGGACUACAACUAGGCCAUGAGCUGGAAGUUCAACCUAGGAGCAGGCUUUGGCUUCUCCAAUGCCUCAAACAAAAUCUUUUAUAUUGGCAGGAAUGCUUCCAAGUCA